AACGCGAAGAACCUUACCAGGGCUUGACAUCACAGGGACCUCACUGAAGGGUGAGGGUGCCUUCGGGAACCUGUAGACAGGUGCUGCAUGGCUGUCGUCAGCUCGUGUCGUGAGAUGUUGGGUUAAGUCCCGCAACGAGCGCAACCCUUGUCCUUAGUAGCCAGCGGUUCGGCCGGGCACUCUGGGGAGACUGCCGGAGAUAAUCCGGAGGAAGGUGGGGAUGACGUCAAAUCGUCAUGCCCCUUAUGACUUGGGCUACACACGUGCUACAAUGGUGGUAACAAAGAGAAGCGACCCCGUGAGGGUGAGCAAAGCUCAAAAAAGCCAUCUCAGUUCGGAUUGAAGUCUGCAACUCGACUUCAUGAAGCUGGAAUCGCUAGUAAUCGCAGAUCAGAAUGCUGCGGUGAAUACGUUCCCGGGUCUUGUACACACCGA
rnacentral:rRNA from 1 species